CCUCUUGAAAAUAUCACUUGAAAAUUCAUGGAAAGUACAGUACAUCUUAAAACAACUGCAUGUUACUUUACAUUCAUUACACAUUGAAACAAACACAGGAUUUCUUCAACACUUGUACGUGUACUGAACACAUAACAGUAACACAAGCUCUGUAAGCUAACAGCCAUUCUUUUCGCUGCUUUUACUCUUUCCCAAAAUACCACAAAUAUCAUUAGGUUCAAUGCGACACAUCGUACUGUGAAGCAACCAUGAAGAUAACAAUGUCUAAAAUAAUGUAUUCACAACAUUAUCUUAUAAAAAGAUCCCUCACUUUCCCUACAAUGUGGGAUUUAAAGUGAAAUUCACUGCAACAUUAUACAAAGCUUAAUGUUUAUCUCUUGGAAAUAGUGACAUUAUUUUUUAAAUAUGAAGAUUCUGAAAAAAAAAAAAGGUUUUAAGAAAGAGGUGCAUGCAUGCAGAGUGAAAGUGAAUACAAAGCUCAAAGAACCAUAACUUAAAACAUGUCAUUAAAAUGUCCUAUCUUGCCAAAAAUUACAUGGUUUUGAAAAUACACUUUUUUCAAUGCUUAAAUUUAGAAAAAGACUUCACAAAACCCAGUAAAUAAUCACAUAUCCAAUUCAUUCAUCAUAAACAAAUUUUAAAAAGAAUAUUAAGAUUGCAGAUGGGAAAUUAAAGUUAGCUAUUUAUACAGUCAUCAUCUUUUACAGAUAAUUUCAGCCAGUUUGUUCAUAUCUUUGUAAUCUAUUAUAGCACGAUUUUGUUACCUACCUUAGACAUAUAAAAAAUAUUAGGAAAUUCUACAUUUUUUGAUACAAGAAAGAAAUUUUAGGCGAUUCUGAAUGUUUAAAGUAUUAUAUAUCAUAAAUGUUUAGUACAUACUUUUGACUUAAACCUGAAGUUUAAUGACUCACUUAGAAGCAGCCAUUAAGCAUUAGCUUUGCUUUCAAUAAAAAUUAUUACCUUCUUCAAAAUUAGUUAAAAGGGUGAUACAAUUACCUGUGAAAUUAGCACAGCUGAACAUAUAGGUGAGCAAGACCCACCAUUUUUCAUGCACAUGAUGAACAGUAUGUUGGUUAAGUGCCAUUUAAUUUUUUCAUUUUGGCUAUGGAUCUUAGAUCUGAUUUCUGCAUAGCAGAAAUCAGUGUGCAUCUGUGCCCACACGUAUCUUGGAAAUGUAUUUUAGGUUUAGUUAGUUGAAGAAGAGCACUGCUAUAAUCUUUUGUAUCGUACCUCAAACACCUACCUACAAGCAGGCAGAGCUGACAUUGCACAAAAAACCCUGACAGAAUAAUUUCUUGACCCCUUUAAACAUUAGUCUUUACAAUUCACAAAACAGUGUGGAAUUCAGUAGGCUUAUUUAUCUUCCUAUGAGUGGAAAAUUCUGCCCUAGCCAGAGAAAUACUAUUUUUCUCUCUCCCCUUCCCCUCUCCUUUACUACACGUAUGAGGAAAUUAACCUUUCCGGUUAAAAAGAUGUUAAAAAAAAAAAAAGCAUAUUAGGUAUAUAAGUGAAGUGAAAUUUUUGCUUUGCCCCCUACCAGAAACAACAAUCCCUGACAAUGGGCUCAGAACUUUCAGUUGUACAGCAUCAUCAGCACCCAUUCCCCAAUUUUCUGCCCAAAUUAGCCAUUUUUGUGGCACAAGCUCCUGCCCAACCGUCCAGCUGCUCAAGUGUUAGACACAGUUCACAGCAUAUGUUAACACUGCUUUUACAGUCACAACCUCUGUGUCACAGCUGAGUAUAUCGAAGUCAUGCUGGAGUCACAGAUAUAGACAAAAGAGUGUUUUAGGCAGGAAAUUCAGCCUUGGAGUGUCAGCUGCUUCUUAUGGUUUCUUUAAGAACUGAGGUGGAGGUUUUACUGAUACUCACCAGGAAUCAGGUGGGGCCUUUCUAACUAGUUUGUGCUGCACCUUAAAACUUCAAAUAGAUGUAGCUCCCAUACUAUCAAACUCCUGGGUUUAAAACUAUGUAAAAUUAGGAAAAAAAAAAAAAAAGUCUUUUCCAGAUGAAACAAUAAACUCAGCACACUAACUUUAUACAAUUACAUAUUCACAUUGUAAUUUUUUAUUCAAAGCAAUAAAACCACAAGCAUUUUUUAAAGGAAAAAUAUUAUUUUCAAAUCUGUAGAAUUUCCUAAUAUGUUAUAAAUUCAGCUGAAGUCUGAUAGCGCUUUAAUGAUUUGAGUGAUUAGUGAGUGACAAGGAUCUGAAAGCUCAUAGGCACUUCAACACUGUUCUGUGUUUCCUAACCUCAAUCCUAACCCAGAAAAUGGUUUCCUGCACAGAUAAACCCUCCUUCUCCAAUUGAGGGUUUUUUUUUCAUGUAUUUUGUAUUCCUAGCAAUAUCAUCAAACUGUGCCUUUGUAUGAAAGAAUGAACACAGACACCAUGCAUGCAAUAGCAUGUCUUCAAUAUUAUUUUACUGAUUCCAAGCAGACAAUAUUGACACAUAGACAUUUUCACGUGAGCUAACCCUCCAUAGCUGAUGUGCUUCCAACACACUGAAGCGAUUAGUCUCCUCAGUGCUUGUCAGGGCACAUCUGGAACACUCUGUUCAGUUUUGAACUUCCCAGUUCACGAGAGGGAUGGAUAUGCUGGAGGAAGGCCAGUGGAAGGCCACUAAUCUGGCUAAGGAGCUGGAGCACGACAGAUGAGGAGAGACUGAGAGUGACACAUUGUUUAAGAAGAGAAGGCUGGGGGAAAUUUAACUGCCAUCUUAAAUUACAUUUUAG
ensembl:lncRNA